rnacentral:rRNA from 1 species
GAUGAACGCUGGCGGCGUGCCUAACACAUGCAAGUCGAACGAAGAGGCCCCUUCGGGGGCACUUCAGUGGCGGACGGGUGAGUAACACGUAGGUAACCUGCCCCGAAGUGGGGAAUAACGGUCCGAAAGGACCGCUAAUACCCCAUGUGAUCGCAAGAUUAAAGCCCCCUUCGGGAGCGCUUCGGGAGGGGCCUGCGGCCCAUCAGCUUGUUGGUAGGGUAACGGCCUACCAAGGCGACGACGGGUAGGGGACCUGAGAGGGUGACCCCCCACACUGGCACUGACAUACGGGCCAGACUCCUACGGGAGGGCAGCAGUGAGGAAUAUUGG